rnacentral:rRNA from 1 species
GAGUUUGAUCGUGGCUCAGAGUGAACGCUGGCGGCGUGCCUAAAACAUGCAAGUCGAACGGGCCCUUUCGGGGGUCAGUGGCGGACGGCUGAGUAACACGUGGGUGACCUGCCCCGGAGCGGGGGAUAACUGCCCGAAAGGGUGGCUAAUACCGCAGACAUCACGGCUUCGGUGACGUGAUUGAACCUUUGGGGUUCUGGGAGGGGCCCGCGGCCGAUUAGCUAGCUGGUGGGGUAACGGCCUACCAGGGCGACGAUCGGUAGCUGGUCUGAGAGGAUGAUCAGCCAGACUGGGACUGCGAACGGCCCAGACUCCUACGGGAGGCAGCAGUUAGGAAUUUUGGGCAAUGGGCGAAAGCCUGACCCAGCAACGCCGCGUGGGUGAUGAAGGCCCUCGGGUCGUAAAGCCCUUUUCCCAGGGACGAUGGUGACGGUACCUGGGGAAUCAGCCCCGGCUAACUACGUGCCAGCCGCCGCCGUAAC